rnacentral:lncRNA from 1 species
CGCUUGGCAUCUCCUUCUCCUCCGAAGUGAAGCCGCUUGUCGCUCCUCGCACCCCCGCUCUCAGUGCGAGGGCCCAUGGCGCCGCCCAAGAACAAGGGCGACGAGAAGAUCCUUAGCUACCUCGACGUGGUUAUGAGGCGAUCCGACCUCGACAUCCUCCGCGGCCCCCAUUACCUCAACGACCGCAUCAUCGAGUUCUACUUCGCCCACCUCGCCUCCCUCUGCCCCUCCCCGCGCGCCCUCCUCCUCCCGCCCUCCAUCUCCUUCUGGCUCGCCAACUGCCACGACCCCCAAUCCCUCCGCCAGUUCGCCGACCCCCUCCGCCUCCCCGAU